AUUGAACGCUGGCGGCAGGCUUAACACAUGCAAGUCGAACGAGUGGCGGAAGGGUGAGUAAUGCUUGGGAAUCUGGCUUAUGGAGGGGGAUAACGACGGGAAACUGUCGCUAAUACCGCGUACCAUAGGUUACGACCAAGUGGGAUUAGCUAGUUGGUGGGGUAAUGGCCUACCAAGCCGACGAUCUCUAGCUGGUCUGAGAGGAUAACCAGCCACACCGUGACUGAGCCACGGCCGCGACUCCUACGGGAGGCAGCAGUGGGGAAUAUUGCGCAAUGGGGUCAGCCUGACGCAGCCAUGCCGCGUGAAUGAAGAAGGCCUUCGGGUUGUAAAGUUCUUUCGGUGACGAGGCGUUAAUCACAGAAGAAGCCCCGGCUAACUCCGUGCCAGCCGCCGCGGUAAUAC
rnacentral:rRNA from 1 species